rnacentral:misc_RNA from 1 species
GAUGAAGAACGUAGUGAAAUGCGAUAAGUAAUGUGAAUUGCAGAAUUCAGUGAAUCAUCGAAUCUUUGAACGCACAUUGCGCCCGCUAGUAUUCUGGCGGGCAUGCCUGUCCGAGCGUCAUUUCAACCCUCAAGCCCCCGGGCUUGGUGUUGGGGAUCGGCGAGCCUCCGCGCCCGCCGUCCCCUAAAUCUAGUGGCGGUCUCGCUGUAGCUUCCUCUGCGUAGUAGCACACCUCGCACUGGGAAACAGCGCGGCCACGCCGUUAAACCCCCAACUUCUGAACGUUGGACCUCGGAUCAGGUAGGAAUACCCGCUGAACUUAAGCAUAUCAAUAAGCGGAGGA